AUGGAUUCCAAAACAUCAUUCUGCGGUGCUCUCCUGCUACUUGCGGCGCUGCUGCCUCUUUCAGCUAGCGCGUCGAGCAAACUCUAUAUCGUGUAUAUGGGGGAAAAGAAGCAUGAUGACCCGUCCGUGGUCAUCACGUCGCACCAUGACAUACUAACAUCUGUUUUUGGGAGCAAGGAUGAAGCCUUGAGGUCCAUAGUUUACAGUUACAAGCAUGGAUUUUCUGGGUUCGCAGCGAUGCUUACCAAGUCUCAAGCUGAGGCAAUCGCAAAAUUUCCCGAAGUUGUCACUGUGAAGCCAAACACUUUUCAUGAAACACACACAACUCGGAGCUGGGACUUCCUCGCCCUUGAACAUAACCAAGGACCACAACAACCGGGACUCCUCAAACAAGCGAAGUAUGGUGAAGAUGUCAUCGUGGGUGUGAUUGAUUCAGGCAUAUGGCCUGAAUCGCAAAGCUUUGAUGACAGCGGGUAUGGUCCUGUGCCGGCACGGUGGAAAGGGAAAUGCCAGACUGGCCAGAAGUUCAACACCACAAGUUGCAACCGAAAGACCAUCCGUGCGCGGUGGUAUGGUCGUGGCAUCAGUGCAGAGGUGCUAAAGAGUGACUACAAGUCGCCUAGGGACAUCCAGGGCCAUGGCACACAUGUCGCAUCGACUAUCGCUGGCACGGAAAUGCAGGGUGUGAGCUACGGAGGCCUAGGCAUGGGCGUGGCACGCGGCGGGGCGCCACGUGCGCGGUUCGGUAUCUACAAGGCGUGCUGGGUGGGUGCGGGUUGCCCCGACGCAGCGGUCCUUGCGGCCAUCGAUGACGCCAUAUAUGAUGGUGUGGAUGUUUUGUCGCUAUCGAUUGCAGAGGUUGGUCAUGAGCUCCCAGGGACACUGCAUGCUGUGCAAAGAGGGAUAUCCGUCGUGUUUGGUGGAGGGAACGAUGGCCCGGUGCCACAGACUAUAAGUAAUGCCGUACCAUGGGUUACGACGGUGGCCGCUAGCACGAUUGACCGUUCUUUCCCGACGUUGAUAUCACUCGGAACAAAGAAAAGCUUGCAGGGGCAGUCUAUAAACUACAAUGCGGCUAUGAACAACAGCGGCUUUCAGGACCUUGUAUAUGCGGGGAGCUGCGACGCCGAAUCACUGGCGUUGAGCAAUGUCACUGGCAAAACCGUCCUCUGUUACGCACCAGCCCAGACAGCCACCACGCCCCCCAGGCAAGCACUCCCUUUGGCAAUCAAAAGCACCGUCGAAGCAGGGGCCAAGGGCCUCAUCUUUGCACAGUACACAGCCAACAAUCUGGACCACCUGGCCACGUGCAAGGGAGUUAUGCCUUGCGCUCUGGUGGAUUUCGAGAUCGCACAACGAAUUCUCUCCUACUGGGACAUGACUGAGAAUCCGGUGGUGAAGGUGUCCCCGGCAGCAAGCGUCGUCGGAAACGGGGUGUUGUCGCCGAGGGUCGCCUCGUUCUCGUCCAGAGGUCCAAGCAUGUUGUUCCCUAGCAUACUUAAGCCCGACAUUGCUGCACCUGGCGUCAGCAUCUUGGCAGCUGACCGCAACUCCUACGUGUUCAAAUCCGGGACAUCCAUGGCGUGCCCACAUGUCUCCGCUGUGACCGCACUGCUCAAGUCGGUUCACCCUGGCUGGUCACCUGCCAUGAUCAAGUCUGCCAUCGUCAGCACAGCAUCUGUGACCGAUCAUUUUGGCAUGCCAAUCCAAGCAGAAGUGGUCCCAAGGAAACUAGCCGACCCCUUCGACUUUGGUGGUGGACAUAUUGACCCAGAAAGAGCCGUUGAUCCUGGCUUGGUUUACGACGUGGAUGCAAGGGAGUACAACAAGUUUUUCAACUGCACCCUUGGAUAUUUAGAUGGUUGUGAGUCCUACUACCUCAAUCUCAACCUCCCGUCAAUUGCCGUGCCAGACCUCAAAGACAAGGUGGUGCUUCAGCGCACUGUGACUAACGUUGGGCCGGCAGAAGCAACAUAUCAUUUAGUGGUUGAAGCUCCAGCGGGGAUAGAUGUGUUCGUGGAGCCAUCUGUGAUUAAUUUCACCCAAAGCGGUAGUAAAAGCGCGAAGUUUAUGGUGAGAUUCACAGCAAGGCAGAGAGUACAAGGUGGGUACACUUUCGGGAGCUUGACAUGGUCAGAUGGAGGUACUCGCUCAGUGAGAAUUCCUAUUGCGGUGCGGACUGUGAUACAAGACUUUGUUGCAGAUACAUCUUAA
rnacentral:rRNA from 1 species